rnacentral:rRNA from 1 species
GAGGAUGGCGGCGUGCUAUACAUGCAGUCGAGCGAAUUGAUGGGAGCUUGCUCCCUGAUAUUAGCGGCGGACGGGUGAGUAACACGUGGGUAACCUGCCUGUAAGAUUGGGAUAACUCCGGGAAACCGGAGCUAAUACCGGAUAACAUGUUGAACCGCAUGGUUCAACAUUGAAAGAUGGCUUUUGCUAUCACUUACAGAUGGACCCGCGGCGCAUUAGCUAGUUGGUGAGGUAACGGCUCACCAAGGCAACGAUGCGUAGCCGACCUGAGAGGGUGAUCGGCCACACUGGGACUGAGACACGGCCCAGACUCCUACGGGAGGCAGCAGUAGGGAAUCUUCCGCAAUGGACGAAAGUCUGACGGAGCAACGCCGCGUGAACGAUGAAGGCCUUCGGGUCGUAAAGUUCUGUUGUUAGGGAAGAACAAGUACCAGAGUAACUGCUGGUACCUUGACGGUACCUAACCAGAAAGCCACGGCUAACUACGUGCCAGCAGCCGCGGUAAUACGUAGGUGGCAAGCGUUGUCCGGAAUUAUUGGGCGUAAAGCGCGCGCAGGUGGUUUCUUAAGUCUGAUGUGAAAGCCCACGGCUCAACCGUGGAGGGUCAUUGGAAACUGGGGAACUUGAGUGCAGAAGAGGAAAGUGGAAUUCCAAGUGUAGCGGUGAAAUGCGUAGAGAUUUGGAGGAACACCAGUGGCGAAGGCGACUUUCUGGUCU